rnacentral:rRNA from 1 species
GACGAACCGUGCGAACGUUGUUCGGAAUCACUGGGCUUAAAGGGCGCGUAGGCGGGCAGUCAAGUCAGAGGUGAAAGCCCACGGCUCAACCGUGGAAGUGCCCCUGAUACUGAUUGUCUCGAGGGAGGUAGGGGCGUGCGGAACUUCCGGUGGAGCGGUGAAAUGCGUAGAUAUCGGAAGGAACACCGGUGGCGAAAGCGGCGCGCUGGACCUCUACUGACGCUGAGGCGCGAAGGCCAGGGGAGCAAACGGG